rnacentral:siRNA from 1 species
CCAAAAUGUGGUUGGUAAUUGAAU